rnacentral:rRNA from 1 species
UACGUAGGGUGCGAGCGUUGUCCGGAAUUAUUGGGCGUAAAGGGCUCGUAGGCGGUUUGUCGCGUCGGGAGUGAAAACACUGGGCUUAACUCAGUGCUUGCUUCCGAUACGGGCAGACUAGAGGUAUGCAGGGGAGAACGGAAUUCCUGGUGUAGCGGUGAAAUGCGCAGCUAUCAGGAGGAACACCGGUGGCGAAGGCGGUUCUCUGGGCAUUACCUGACGCUGAGGAGCGAAAGUGUGGGGAGCGAACAGG